rnacentral:rRNA from 1 species
AACGUAGGGGACAAGCGUUAUCCGGAUUUACUGGGCGUAAAGCGCCCGUCAGGCGGCCUGACAAGUUGGACGUGAAAGCUCCUGGCUUAACUGGGAGAGGCCGUUCAAAACUGUACAAGCUAGAGUCUGGAAGAGGAGAGCGGAAUUCCCGGUGUAGUGGUGAAAUGCGCAGAUAUCGGGAGGAACACCGGUGGCGAAGGCGGUUCUCUGGGCCUUACCUGACGCUGAGACGCGAAAGCGUGGGGAGCGAACAGG